rnacentral:rRNA from 1 species
UACGGAAGGGGCAAGCGUUGUUCGGAAUCAUUGGGCGUAAAGGGCGCGUAGGUGGUUCUGUAUGUCUACCGUGAAAGCGUACGGCUCAACCGUAUUUUGUCGGUAGAAACUGCAGGACUUGAGGCUGGGAGGGGCUGGUGGAAUUCCCUGUGUAGCGGUGAAAUGCGUAGAGAUCAGGAAGAACACCGGUGGCGAAGGCGCUCUGCUAGGCCGCAACUGACACUAAGGGACGAAAGCUAGGGGAGCGAAUGGG